UUACGCAUUGCAUUCGACAUUUAUUUUACCUGUUGGCCUACAAUUAAUAAAAAUUGCACGAGACUUUGCAAAAUUAAUAAUUUAACUUAAAUGGUAAGACGGUGAGUGGGUUGAUUAGAUUAGGUAAUUUUAUGUGGAGUAAAAGAUGAAUGAGUUCUCGUUAAA